rnacentral:rRNA from 1 species
GGUUGUCGUCAGCUCGUGUCGUGAGAUGUGGUAGUCCGCACGAGCGCAACCCCUAUUGUUAGUUGCCAUCAUUCAGUUGGGCACUCUAGCGAGACUGCCGGUAAUAAACCGGAGGAAGGUGGGGAUGACGUCAAAUCAUCAUGCCCCUUAUGACCUGGGCUACACACGUGCUACAAUGGUUGGUACAACGAGUUGCGAGUCGGUGACGGCGAGCUAAUCUCUUAAAGCCAAUCUCAGUUCGGAUUGUAGGCUGCAACUCGCCUACAUGAAGUCGGAAUCGCUAGUAAUCGCGGAUCAGCACGCCGCGGUCGAAUACGUUCCCGGGCCUU